rnacentral:rRNA from 1 species
CCGAAUGGGGAAACCCAGUGUGAUUCGUCACACUAUCAUUAACUGAAUCCAUAGGUUAAUGAGGCGAACCGGGGGAACUGAAACAUCUAAGUACCCCGAGGAAAAGAAAUCAACCGAGAUUCCCCCAGUAGCGGCGAGCGAACGGGGAGGAGCCCAGAGCCUGAAUCAGCAUGUGUGUUAGUGGAAGCGUCUGGAAAGGCGCGCGAUACAGGGUGACAGCCCCGUACACAAAAGCGCAUGUGCUGUGAGCUCGAUGAGUAGGGCGGGACACGUGGUAUCCUGUCUGAAUAUGGGGGGACCAUCCUCCAAGGCUAAAUACUCCUGACUGACCGAUAGUGAACCAGUACCGUGAGGGAAAGGCGAAAAGAACCCCGGCGAGGGGAGUGAAAAAGAACCUGAAACCGUGUACGUACAAGCAGUGGGAGCNNNNNNNNNNNNNNNNNNNNNNNNNNNNNNGGGCGUUAAGUUGCAGGGUAUAGACCCGAAACCCGGUGAUCUAGCCAUGGGCAGGUUGAAGGUUGGGUAACACUAACUGGAGGACCGAACCGACUAAUGUUGAAAAAUUAGCGGAUGACCUGUGGCUGGGGGUGAAAGGCCAAUCAAACCGGGAGAUAGCUGGUUCUCCCCGAAAGCUAUUUAGGUAGCGCCUCGUGAAUUCAUCUCCGGGGGUAGAGCACUGUUUCGGCUAGGGGGCCAUCCCGGCUUACCAACCCGAUGCAAACUGCGAAUACCGGAGAAUGUUAUCACGGGAGACACACGGCGGGUGCUAACGUCCGUCGUGAAGAGGGAAACAACCCAGACCGCCAGCUAAGGUCCCAAAGUCAUGGUUAAGUGGGAAACGAUGUGGGAAGGCCCAGACAGCCAGGAUGUUGGCUUAGAAGCAGCCAUCAUUUAAAGAAAGCGUAAUAGCUCACUGGUCGAGUCGGCCUGCGCGGAAGAUGUAACGGGGCUAAACCAUGCACCGAAGCUGCGGCAGCGAACGUAUCACCCAAGACAACUUUACGGAGUUGACGAUUGACGGAGCGAAGCGACGUCAAAGCGUUCAUUAAAGUCGAGUUGGCUUAGGGAUACGUUCGUUGGGUAGGGGAGCGUUCUGUAAGCCUGUGAAGGUGUGUCGUGAGGCAUGCUGGAGGUAUCAGAAGUGCGAAUGCUGACAUAAGUAACGAUAAAGCGGGUGAAAAGCCCGCUCGCCGGAAGACCAAGGGUUCCUGUCCAACGUUAAUCGGGGCAGGGUGAGUCGACCCCUAAGGCGAGGCCGAAAGGCGUAGUCGAUGGGAAACGGGUUAAUAUUCCCGUACUUGGUGUUACUGCGAAGGGGGGACGGAGAAGGCUAUGUUGGCCGGGCGACGGUUGUCCCGGUUUAAGCGUGUAGGUGUGUGUUCCAGGUAAAUCCGGUUCACUUUAACACUGAGGCGUGACGACGAGGCACUACGGUGCUGAAGCAACAAAUGCCCUGCUUCCAGGAAAAGCCUCUAAGCAUCAGGUAACACGAAAUCGUACCCCAAACCGACACAGGUGGUCAGGUAGAGAAUACCAAGGCGCUUGAGAGAACUCGGGUGAAGGAACUAGGCAAAAUGGUGCCGUAACUUCGGGAGAAGGCACGCUGACACGUAGGUGAAGUGAUUUACUCAUGGAGCUGAAGUCAGUCGAAGAUACCAGCUGGCUGCAACUGUUUAUUAAAAACACAGCACUGUGCAAACACGAAAGUGGACGUAUACGGUGUGACGCCUGCCCGGUGCCGGAAGGUUAAUUGAUGGGGUCAGCGCAAGCGAAGCUCCUGAUCGAAGCCCCGGUAAACGGCGGCCGUAACUAUAACGGUCCUAAGGUAGCGAAAUUCCUUGUCGGGUAAGUUCCGACCUGCACGAAUGGCGUAAUGAUGGCCAGGCUGUCUCCACCCGAGACUCAGUGAAAUUGAACUCGCUGUGAAGAUGCAGUGUACCCGCGGCAAGACGGAAAGACCCCGUGAACCUUUACUAUAGCUUGACACUGAACAUUGAGCCUUGAUGUGUAGGAUAGGUGGGAGGCUUUGAAGUGUGGACGCCAGUCUGCAUGGAGCCGACCUUGAAAUACCACCCUUUAAUGUUUGAUGUUCUAACGUGGACCCGUAAUCCGGGUUGCGGACAGUGUCUGGUGGGUAGUUUGACUGGGGCGGUCUCCUCCUAAAGAGUAACGGAGGAGCACGAAGGUUGGCUAAUCCUGGUCGGACAUCAGGAGGUUAGUGCAAUGGCAUAAGCCAGCUUGACUGCGAGCGUGACGGCGCGAGCAGGUGCGAAAGCAGGUCAUAGUGAUCCGGUGGUUCUGAAUGGAAGGGCCAUCGCUCAACGGAUAAAAGGUACUCCGGGGAUAACAGGCUGAUACCGCCCAAGAGUUCAUAUCGACGGCGGUGUUUGGCACCUCGAUGUCGGCUCAUCACAUCCUGGGGCUGAAGUAGGUCCCAAGGGUAUGGCUGUUCGCCAUUUAAAGUGGUACGCGAGCUGGGUUUAGAACGUCGUGAGACAGUUCGGUCCCUAUCUGCCGUGGGCGCUGGAGAACUGAGGGGGGCUGCUCCUAGUACGAGAGGACCGGAGUGGACGCAUCACUGGUGUUCGGGUUGUCAUGCCAAUGGCACUGCCCGGUAGCUAAAUGCGGAAGAGAUAAGUGCUGAAAGCAUCUAAGCACGAAACUUGCCCCGAGAUGAGUUCUCCCUGAGACUUAGAGUCUCCUGAAGGAACGUUGAAGACGACGACGUUGAU